rnacentral:rRNA from 1 species
CCCCUUCGGGGGACAGGGUGACAGGUGGUGCAUGGUUGUCGUCAGCUCGUGUCGUGAGAUGUUGGGUUAAGUCCCGCAACGAGCGCAACCCUCGCCUCUAGUUGCCAGCAUUCGGUUGGGCACUCUAGAGGGACUGCCGGCGACAAGUCGGAGGAAGGUGGGGAUGACGUCAAAUCAUCAUGCCCCUUAUGACCUGGGCUACACACGUGCUACAAUGGGCGGUACAAAGGGCUGCGAACCCGCGAGGGGGAGCGAAUCCCAAAAAGCCGCUCUCAGUUCGGAUUGCAGGCUGCAACUCGCCUGCAUGAAGCCGGAAUCGCUAGUAAUCGCGGAUCAGCAUGCCGCGGUGAAUACGUUCCCGGGCCUU